GCCAGCCCGCUCAGAAACUUAAAGGAAAGUUGACGGGGCCCGCGACAAGCGGAGGAGCAUGUGGUUUAAUUCGAUGAUACGCGAGGAACCUUACCUGGGCUCGAACGUAAGAUGACUGUAGGUGAAAGCUUACAUCUCUUCGGAGCAUUUUACGAGGUGCUGCAUGGUUGUCGUCAGCUCGUGCCGUGAGGUGUCGGGUUAAGUCCCAUAACGAGCGCAACCCCUACCUUAGUUGCCAUCAGGUAAUGCUGGGGACUCUAAAGGAACUGCCUACGCAAGUAGUGAGGAAGCGGGGAUGACGUCAAAUCAGCACGGCCCUUACGUCCAGGGCUACACACGUGCUACAAUGGCCGAUACAGAGGGCAGCUACCUGGUGACAGGAUGCAAAUCUCCAAAGUCGGUCUCAGUUCGGAUCGGAGUCUGCGACCCGACUCCGUGAAGUUGGAUUCGCUAGUAAUCGCGCAUCAGCCAUGGCGCGGUGAAUACGUUCCCGGGCCUU
rnacentral:rRNA from 1 species